GACGAACGCUGGCGGCGUGCUUAACACAUGCAAGUCGAACGGAAAGGCCCUGCUUGCAGGGUACUCGAGUGGCGAACGGGUGAGUAACACGUGGGUGAUCUGCCCUGCACUUCGGGAUAAGCCUGGGAAACUGGGUCUAAUACCGGAUAGGAGCCAUUUUUAGUGUGAUGGUUGGAAAGUUUUUUCGGUGUAGGAUGAGCUCGCGGCCUAUCAGCUUGUUGGUGGGGUAAUGGCCUACCAAGGCGGCGACGGGUAGCCGGCCUGAGAGGGUGGACGGCCACAUUGGGACUGAGAUACGGCCCAGACUCCUACGGGAGGCAGCAGGGGGGAAUAUUGCACAAUGGGCGCAAGCCUGAUGCAGCGACGCCGCGUGGGGGAUGACGGCCUUCGGGUUGUAAACUCCUUUCGCUGGGGACGAAGCUUUUUGUGACGGUACCUAGAGAAGAAGCACCGGCUAACUACGUG
rnacentral:rRNA from 1 species